GAUUCUGUAGCUCAGUUGGUUAGAGCGCUGCCCCGAAUCGCAGCUUCGAUUCCUGCCAAGGACC